AUGGCAGUGGCCAGGGCCAGGGUCCUGGGAGUCCAGUGGAUGCAAAGGGCAUCCCAGAAAGUGGUGCCGCUGGGCGCAAGGACAGCCUCCCGCAUAACCAAUGACAUGCUCUCAGGGUCCUAUCCUAGGACGCCAAAAGGACAGGCCACUGCCCUCAAGAAGUAUAACAUGUGUGUGGGAGACUACGAGCCUUACCCGGAUGAUGACAUGGGGUAUGGCGACUACCCAAAGCUCCCUGCAUGAGAGGGAUCCAUGGUAUAGCUGGGACCAGCUGGACCUGAGAUUGAACUGGGGUGAACCGAUGCACUGGCAGCUAGACAUGUAUACCAGGAAUAUGUCCCCCACACCUGUUUCUUGGAAUGUCAUGUGUAUGCAGCUGUUCGGCUUCAUGGCUCUCAUGAUAUUCAUGUUCUGGGUGGGGGAUAUGUACCCUGUCUACCAGCCCGUGGGACCAAAGCAGUAUCCUUACAAUAAUCUGUACCUGGAACGAGGCGGUGAUCCCUCCAAAGAACCUGAGUCGGUGGUUCACUACUAGAUC
rnacentral:lncRNA from 1 species